rnacentral:rRNA from 1 species
UGCAAGUCGAGCGAACNGAUAAGGAGCUUGCUCCUUUGACGUUAGCGGCGGCCGGGUGAGUAACACGUGGGUAACCUACCUAUAAGACUGGAAUAACUUCGGGAAACCGAAGCUAAUGCCGGAUAACAUGUAGAACCGCAUGGUUCUACAGUGAAAGAUGGUUUUGCUAUCACUUAUAGAUGGACCCGCGCCGUAUUAGCUAGUUGGUAAGGUAACGGCUUACCAAGGCAACGAUACGUAGCCGACCUGAGAGGGUGAUCGGCCACACUGGAACUGAGACACGGUCCAGACUCCUACGGGAGGCAGCAGUAGGGAAUCUUCCGCAAUGGGCGAAAGCCUGACGGAGCAACGCCGCGUGAGUGAUGAAGGUCUUCGGAUCGUAAAGCUCUGUUAUUAGGGAAGAACAUGUGCGUAAGUAACUGUGCGCAUCUUGACGGUACCUAAUCAGAAAGCCACGGCUAACUACGUGCCAGCAGCCGCGGUAAUACGUAGGUGGCAAGCGUUAUCCGGAAUUAUUGGGCGUAAAGCGCGCGUAGGCGGUUUCUUAAGUCUGAUGUGAAAGCCCACGGCUCAACCGUGGAGGGUCAUUGGAAACUGGGAGACUUGAGUGCAGAAGAGGAAAGUGGAAUUCCAUGUGUAGCGGUGAAAUGCGCAGAGAUAUGGAGGAACACCAGUGGCGAAGGCGACUUUCUGGUCUGUAACUGACGCUGAUGUGCGAAAGCGUGGGGAUCAAACAGGAUUAGAUACCCUGGUAGUCACGCCGUAAACGAUGAGUGCUAAGUGUUAGGGGGUUUCCGCCCCUUAGUGCUGCAGCUAACGCAUUAAGCACUCCGCCUGGGGAGUACGACCGCAAGGUUGAAACUCAAAGGAAUUGACGGGGACCCGCACAAGCGGUGGAGCAUGUGGUUUAAUUCGAAGCAACGCGAAGAACCUUACCAAAUCUUGACAUCCUUUGACCACUCUGGAGACAGAGUUUUCCCCUUCGGGGGACAAAGUGACAGGUGGUGCAUGGUUGUCGUCAGCUCGUGUCGUGAGAUGUUGGGUUAAGUCCCGCAACGAGCGCAACCCUUAAGCUUAGUUGCCAUCAUUAAGUUGGGCACUCUAAGUUGACUGCCGGUGACAAACCGGAGGAAGGUGGGGAUGACGUCAAAUCAUCAUGCCCCUUAUGAUUUGGGCUACACACGUGCUACAAUGGACAAUACAAAGGGCAGCUAAACCGCGAGGUCAUGCAAAUCCCAUAAAGUUGUUCUCAGUUCGGAUUGUAGUCUGCAACUCGACUACAUGAAGCUGGAAUCGCUAGUAAUCGUAGAUCAGCAUGCUACGGUGAAUACGUUCCCGGGUCUUGUACACACCGCCCGUCACACCAGCGAGAGUUUGUAACACCCGAAGCC